CCUAGCGUGCUAGUUAGCUUUCAGUCAACCAGGCUAGGCGAUAAUCCCGACAAGUUCGUGUCUGAGCCGGAGGUGAGGUUCAGCCCCGCGGAGCCGGGGUUCGGUUCUCCGGGGAAGAACCACCACCGGGCUGUGGCCGGUGUCUGAACGGACCACCGCGAACACACGCUCACGCGUACAAUGUACCUCUAUUGCUGCCUCCAUCUGUCCGUCUCAGGAGCCUGGGCUGAGGUGAUGCGACUCUGGAGGCUACAAAACUGGAGUUCAGAUUCCUGUGGGUGACGCUACGACGAUGACGUUGGCAAAAAGGGAUACGCCCCCGAGUAUUUGGACGUGCAGGUGGCCCCGUCCCGUCCCCCGCCCGCCUUCCCCUCCUCCAGCCCGAAGGUGGCGCUGCAGUUGCGGGCGUAGUACUGCAGCAUCCUCCACGUCCGGCCAAAGUCCUGCGACCGCUCC